AUUGAACGCUGGCGGCAUGCCUUACACAUGCAAGUCGAACGGCAGCACGGGAGCAAUCCUGGUGGCGAGUGGCGAACGGGUGAGUAAUAUAUCGGAACGUGCCCAGUAGUGGGGGAUAACUGCUCGAAAGAGCAGCUAAUACCGCAUACGACCUGAGGGUGAAAGGGGGGGAUCGCAAGACCUCUCGCUAUUGGAGCGGCCGAUAUCAGCUUAGCUAGUUGGUGGGGUAAAGGCCUACCAAGGCAACGAUCUGUAGUUGGUCUGAGAGGACGACCAGCCACACUGGGACUGAGACACGGCCCAGAAUCCUACGGGAGGCAGAAGUGGGGAAUUUUGGACAAUGGGCGCAAGCCUGAUCCAGCAAUGCCGCGUGCAGGAAGAAGGCCUUCGGGUUGUAAACUGCUUUUGUCAGGGAAGAAAUCCUCUAGGUUAAUACCCUUGGGGGGAUGACGGUACCUGAAGAAUAAGCACCGGCUAACUACGUGCCAGCAGCCGCAGUAAUAC
rnacentral:rRNA from 1 species